CCUAAGAAUACAAAUGAAUUCAGA
rnacentral:siRNA from 1 species